rnacentral:rRNA from 1 species
UACCUGCAGCUCAAGUGGUGACCGCUAUUAUUGGGCCUAAAACGUUCGUAGCCGGCUGAGUAAAUGCUUGGGUAAAUCGUGCCGCUUAACGGUACGAAUUCCGGGUAGACUGCUUAGCUUGAGACCGGGAGAAGCUAGAGGUACUCCUGGGGUAGAGGUGAAAUUCUGUAAUCCUGGGGGGACCACCAGUGGCGAAGGCGUCUAGCUAGAACGGGUCUGACGGUGAGGGACGAAACCCUGGGGCGCGAACCGGAUUAGAUACCCGGGUAGUCCAGGGCGCAAACGCUGCUUGCUUGAUGUUAGCUGGGCUCCGAGCUCAGCUAGUGUCGGAGAGAAGUUGUUAAGCAAGCUGCCUGGGAAUCGAUCGCAAGAUUGAAACUUAAAGGAUUGGCGGGGAGCACAGCAACGGUGGAGCGUGCGGUUU